rnacentral:lncRNA from 1 species
AUGGCUCUGUCCUGUUUACUGGUUGUGCAAGUAUAAUUUGGGAAGCCAGAAUUCACAGGAGAAACUUCAAACCUUCUACCUAUGGGAAAUUAACAGAACCAGAAUUUCUGUAAGAAGUCGGAGAUAAAAUACAGGCAUGUGAGGCCUGGAGGAUUUCACUCAGAGGAAAAUUGCUCCCUUUUUUACCUUCUGCAUUUCCAUAGAGGAAGGCUGUGAACUGGUCAGUUGUAGACUGGCCAAGAACCUCAAGUUGUGCUGGAUCUGCAUGUAAAUUUGCUUUUAGCAGCAUGAAACUCAAGCAAUUUGACAAAUGAAUAGGAAACCCAACCACAGGGAAAAGGAAGUUCAGCCGAACGGUUGAAAGAACCGUUCUUAAAGGCUUCAAGAAACUUUAAGAGUGUGAGCCCAGUCUAUGGAAUUUUUAAACAUCUUUAAGACAAUUAGAUACUAACUGAACGUGCCAAUUUCUGUUAAUAUUACAGGAAACAUAUUGGUAGGAUGCUAGGUCACUACUGAAAACGUAACGUUAUCCUAAAAAUAAUUUAGAUUCUGGAUCAACUGAUUCAUGUGCCAUAACCAUGACAACAUUGUUCCAGCUGCUGUUUUUUCGCACGCAUAGUACUCUGCCUCCAU